rnacentral:rRNA from 1 species
GACGAACGCUGGCGGCGUGCUUAACACAUGCAAGUCGAACGGAAAGGCCCUGCUUUUGUGGGGUGCUCGAGUGGCGAACGGGUGAGUAACACGUGAGUAACCUGCCCUUGACUUUGGGAUAACUUCAGGAAACUGGGGCUAAUACCGGAUAGGAGCUCCUGCUGCAUGGUGGGGGUUGGAAAGUUUCGGCGGUUGGGGAUGGACUCGCGGCUUAUCAGCUUGUUGGUGGGGUAGUGGCUUACCAAGGCUUUGACGGGUAGCCGGCCUGGGAGGGUGACCGGCCACAUUGGGACUGAGAUACGGCCCAGACUCCUACGUGAGGCAGCAGUGGGGAAUAUUGCACAAUGGGCGGAAGCCUGAUGCAGCAACGCCGCGUGCGGGAUGACGGCCUUCGGGUUGUAAACCGCUUUCGCCUGUGACGAAGCGUGAGUGACGGUAAUGGGUAAAGAAGCCCCGGCUAACUACGUG